rnacentral:rRNA from 1 species
AUACGGAGGGUGCAAGCGUUGUCCGGAUUUAUUGGGUUUAAAGGGUGUGUAGGCGGUGUAUUAAGUCAGUGGUGAAAGCCUGCGGCUCAACCGUAGAACUGCCUUUGAUACUGACACACUUGAGUAUGGACGAGGUAGGCGGAAUUUAUGGUGUAGCGGUGAAAUGCAUAGAUACCAUAAAGAACACCGAUAGCGAAGGCAGCUUACUAGGCCAUAACUGACGCUGAGGCACGAAAGCGUGGGGAGCGAACAGGAUUAGAAACCCUGGUAGUCC